GUUAAUGGCAUGAAUGUCCAAUAAUUUGAGUUUUCUUCAUUAAAAGUUAUUUGAGAUUUUGAAUCCUAAGUUUUCUUGUUUUUGUAGGCAUACACUGAAUUAGCCACAAAGGGGAAAGAGAGGUCAGAUGUGUGACAUUAACAAAUUUAAGAAUGUUUUUAUGUUUAAUGAACUAGGUAUACAACUUUUAGAUUGUAUAGAUUGUAGUAUGAAAGAAUAUUAAUGUUUUUAUGUUUAAUGAACUAAAUAGUUAUUGUAAUUUUUUUUUUCUGUUUUUUAAAAUUAAAACAUGAUCAGUGAUGCCCCACUUCUUAUGGUUGGAAUGGAAUCAUAUAGUAGGUUUGUAUUUUAUGGAGAUUGAUCAAUUGGUUACAAUUCACAUGCUAAAAGCUUUGCAGAAAUUAAAGAGUUUGUUUUAGUUAGAAUAGUUGGAAUGGUGAUCCAUGUGUUCCACAGCAUCCAUGAAGUGGAAUUGGCUGAUUAAUAAGGCUGGAAUGCAAAGCCAGAAUGGGCUGGAAAGUCUGGAAUGCAAAGCUAGGAAUAGGAAUGAAUAAGACAUCAAGUACAGUUGUUUAUUGGUGUAUUAGAUGUGUAUAUAUGGCGUAUUAGAUGAUACUUGAGACAUCAAGUACGGUUGUUUUGGUGUAUUAGAUGUUUAUAUAUGGUAUACUAGAUGAUUGUAUGGGAUGGUAUAAGAUACAUAUAAUACGGUUAAAUAGCCGUACUUUAUUAUGCAUGUAAUCUAAUACACCCCUCUACUAGUACGCCUGCUAUGUACGUACUAUAUUCAUAAUUUCAACCGUACUCUAUUAACCUUUUUCUAGUAGUGUGAUUUGGGAAGCCUUCAGCCAAAGGCUUCAGGAGCUUUUUUGUCCUCCAGGAUAGAUGAGGAAGCUUG
rnacentral:lncRNA from 1 species